rnacentral:rRNA from 1 species
GUUUGACCUCGGAUCAGGUGGGGAUACCCGCUGAACUUAAGCAUAUCAAUAAGCGGAGGAAGAGAAACCAAC